ACUCAAAUGAAUAGACGGGACUCCGCACAAGCAGUGGAGCAUGUGGUUUAAUUCGAUGCUACGCGAAGAACCUUACCUGGGCUUGACAUCCCGGUCGUACGUCUAAGAAAUUAGGCGGUCAGUUCGGCUGGACCGGUGACAGGUGCUGCAUGGCCGUCGUCAGCUCGUGUCGUGAGAUGUUGGGUUAAGUCCCGCAACGAGCGCAACCCUUGUCGUGUGUUGUAUUUUUUACACGAGACUGCCCGGGCCAACCGGGAGGAAGGUGGGGAUGACGUCAGGUCAGCAUGGCCCUUAUCGUCCAGGGCCACACACGUGCUACAAUGGCCGGCACAAUGGGCAUGCCAACCCGCAAGGGGGAGCUAAUCCCAUCAAAACCGGUCUCAGUUCGGAUUGCAGGCUGCAACUCGCCUGCAUGAAGUUGGAAUUGCUAGUAACCGUGGGUCAGCAUACCACGGUGAAUACGUUCUCGGAGUUUGUACACACCGCCCGU
rnacentral:rRNA from 1 species